rnacentral:sRNA from 1 species
UCGGCGCUCGAUCUCCUCAGGUCGUCUCACCGUCCAGCAGCCCGCAGCAAAAGAUGCCGACGAGAGCUGCGACGAUAAGAAAAUCGAACAGCGUGAAAUAUUCGAAAAUCGCAGACAUUGGCCUGCUCCUCCUAUUCACUCCGCUGCACAUUAUAACAUGAGGG